CGCACCUCGACCGACGAAAACGGAGAAAGAGGAAGAGAACGCCGGCAACGACUCAACUGAACAACAAAUCGGCGACGCUUCAACCUUUUGGCCAGUCGCCGACGGCGGUCUCAAUCCUAUUCGCCGCCUCAGUUUCCCUCUACCUUCGAGCUGCCUCCACCAUCGAAAAAGGAGAAACAGAGGACGUCGAAGCGAUUUCUUCAAACUCCUACCAGAUCGGCAAUCGAUCAUCUCUCCCUCACCAAAAAAAGGAACGGAUCUAAAAAAUUCAAUAAGCUUUCAUUUUCUCAGCUGCAGAGCAUUUUCUAAAAUCAUGAAAAUCAAUGUCGGUUCCGGUAAAAGUUUAACUAGUAUGGAAGACCAGAGGAGGCGUACCAUGGAAGCUCUAGAGCGACGAUUUGCUCAAGCGAAAUCGGAGGUUCAGACACAGCAACAUAAGAGCAAGAAAAGGCCAGCUGAAGAUAAGAAACAUGUGAGGAUUUAUGCAUAUAGUAGUCAGGCCCAAUUCGUAAGCCCAAUGUAUAGAAAUAAUAAGAUGGCCCAGUUCAAAUAUCUUGAUCUAGCCAUUGGAAUAGUUAGCUGUUGUAACUGUUUUGCUUUCUUGCUUUUCCUUCUUCUUUACUUUCGGUUAAGCUGAG